GGAGUAAAGCUUGCCGUGAGAAGUCAGCAGAGGUCGUAGUACCCAAGGCAUGUAUGCCUAUUAGGGAAGGAC
rfam:Bacteroides coprocola DSM 17136 Scfld_02_33 genomic scaffold, whole genome shotgun sequence.